rnacentral:rRNA from 1 species
UACGUAGGCAGCAAGCGUUGUUCGGAGUUACUGGGCGUAAAGAGUGCGUAGGUGGUGCCCUAAGUCUGUUGUGAAAUCUCCCGGCUUAACUGGGAGGGUGCGGUGGAAACUGGGGUGCUUGAGUGUGGGAGAGGUAAGCGGAAUUCCUGGUGUAGCGGUGAAAUGCGUAGAUAUCAGGAGGAACACCGGUGGUGUAGACGGCUUACUGGACCACGACUGACGCUGAGGCACGAAAGUGUGGGGAUCAAACAGG